rnacentral:rRNA from 1 species
AGAGUUUGAUCAUGGCUCAGAACUAACGCUGGCGGCGUGCCUAACACAUGCAAGUCGUACGAGAAAGUCGGCUUCGGCUGAUGAGUAAAGUGGCGCACGGGUGAGUAACGCGUGGAUAAUCUGCCCCUGAGUUCGGAAUAACGUACCGAAAGGUGCGCUAAUACCGGAUAAUGCUGAGUGACUACUGUCGCUUAGCCAAAGAAGGCCUCUGUUUACAUGCUUUUGCUUUGGGAUGAGUUCGCGUACCAUUAGCUAGUUGGUAGGGUAAUGGCCUACCAAGGCGACGAUGGUUAGCUGGUCUGAGAGGAUGAUCAGCCACACUGGAACUGAGACACGGUCCAGACUCCUACGGGAGGCAGCAGUGAGGAAUAUUGCGCAAUGGGGGCAACCCUGACGCAGCAACGCCGCGUGAGUGAGGAAGGUUUUCGGACCGUAAAGCUCUGUCGAGCGGGAAGAAAUGCAUGGUGGCUAAUAUCCAUCAUGCUCGACGGUACCGCUAAAGGAAGCACCGGCUAACUCCGUGCCAGCAGCCGCGGUAAUACGGGGGGUGCAAGCGUUGUUCGGAAUUAUUGGGCGUAAAGAGCGUGUAGGCGGCUGAAUAAGUCAGAUGUGAAAUCCCUGGGCUUAACCCAGGACGUGCAUUUGAAACUAUUCAGCUUGAGUAAGGGAGAGGAAAGUGGAAUUCCUGGUGUAGAGGUGAAAUUCGUAGAUAUCAGGAGGAACACCGGUGGCGAAGGCGACUUUCUGGCCCUAUACUGACGCUGAGACGCGAGAGCGUGGGUAGCAAACAGGAUUAGAUACCCUGGUAGUCCACGCUGUAAACGAUGUUCACUAGGUGUUGGGGGUAUUGACCCUCUCAGUGCCGCAGCUAACGCAUUAAGUGAACCGCCUGGGGAGUACGGUCGCAAGAUUA